AAGCAUCGCGACCCCA
rnacentral:rRNA from 1 species